CGGCGCACGGGUGCGCACCGCGUAUGGAACCUGCCUUUUGCAGGGGAAUAGCCCAGGGAAACUUGGAUUAAUGCCCCGUAGUACCAUUUUGCGGCAUUGCAGAAUGGUUAAAGCCUUCGGGCGGCAAGAGAUGGCCAUGCGUCCCAUUAGCUAGAUGGUAAGGUAACGGCUUACCAUGGCUACGAUGGGUAGGGGCCCUGAGAGGGGGAUCCCCCACACUGGUACUGAGACACGGACCAGACUCCUACGGGAGGCAGCAGUGAGGAAUAUUGGACAAUGGAGGAGACUCUGAUCCAGCCAUGCCGCGUGCAGGAAGACGGCCCUAUGGGUUGUAAACUGCUUUUAUACGGGAAGAAAAACAGCUACGUGUAGUUGACUGACGGUACCGUAAGAAUAAGGACCGGCUAACUCCGUGCCAGCAGCCGCGGUAAUACGGAGGGUCCGAGCGUUAUCCGGAAUUAUUGGGUUUAAAGGGUCCGUAGGCGGGCCAUUAAGUCAGGGGUGAAAGUCUGCGGCUCAACCGUAGAAUUGCCUUUGAUACUGGUGGUCUUGAGUUAUGGUGAAGUGGCUGGAAUAUGUAGUGUAGCGGUGAAAUGCAUAGAUAUUACAUAGAACACCGAUUGCGAAGGCAGGUCACUAACCAUAUACUGACGCUGAUGGACGAAAGCGUGGGGAGCGAACAGGAUUAGAUACCCUGGUAGUCCACGCCGUAAACGAUGGGUACUAGCUGUCCGGGUCCUUGAGACCUGGGCGGCCAAGCGAAAGUGAUAAGUAUCCCACCUGGGGAGUACGUUCGCAAGAAUGAAAACUCAAAGGAAUUGACGGGGGCCCGCACAAGCGGUGGAGCAUGUGGUUUAAUUCGAUGAUACGCGAGGAACCUUACCAGGGCUUAAAUGCAUA
rnacentral:rRNA from 1 species